GGAUUGUAGUCUGCAACCCGACUACAUGAAGCUGGAAUCGCUAGUAAUCGCGGAUCAGAAUGCCGCGGUGAAUACGUUCCCGGGUCUUGUACACACCGCCCGUCACACCAUGGGAGUCGGAAAUGCCCGAAGUCUGUGACCCAACCUACGGGAGGGAGCAGCCGAAGGCAGGUCGGAUGACUGGGGUGAAGUCGUAACAAGGUAGC
rnacentral:rRNA from 1 species